GUGGGGAAUAUUGGACAAUGGGCGAAAGCCUGAUCCAGCCAUGCCGCGUGUGUGAAGAAGGUCUUCGGAUUGUAAAGCACUUUAAGUUGGGAGGAAGGGCAUUAACCUAAUACGUUAGUGUUUUGACGUUACCGACAGAAUAAGCACCGGCUAACUCUGUGCCAGCAGCCGCGGUAAUACAGAGGGUGCAAGCGUUAAUCGGAAUUACUGGGCGUAAAGCGCGCGUAGGUGGUUCGUUAAGUUGGAUGUGAAAUCCCCGGGCUCAACCUGGGAACUGCAUCCAAAACUGGCGAGCUAGAGUAGGGCAGAGGGUGGUGGAAUUUCCUGUGUAGCGGUGAAAUGCGUAGAUAUAGGAAGGAACACCAGUGGCGAAGGCGACCACCUGGGCUCAUACUGACACUGAGGUGCGAAAGCGUGGGGAGCAAACAGGAUUAGAAACCCUAGUAGUCC
rnacentral:rRNA from 1 species